rnacentral:rRNA from 1 species
CGGACGGGUGAGUAAUGUCUGGGAAACUGCCUGAUGGAGGGGGAUAACUACUGGAAACGGUAGCUAAUACCGCAUAAUGUCGCAAGACCAAAGAGGGGGACCUUCGGGCCUCUUGCCAUCGGAUGUGCCCAGAUGGGAUUAGCUUGUUGGUGGGGUAACGGCUCACCAAGGCGACGAUCCCUAGCUGGUCUGAGAGGAUGACCAGCCACACUGGAACUGAGACGCGGUCCAGACUCCUACGGGAGGCAGCAUG